rnacentral:rRNA from 1 species
CUACGGGUCGCAGCAGUGGGGAAUAUUGCGCAAUGGGCGAAAGCCUGACGCAGCAACGCCGUGUGAGGGAUGAAGGCUUUCGGGUCGUAAACCUCUGUCGGAAGGGAAGAACGGGCAUUGGUCUAAUAGGCCUUUGUUUUGACGGUACCUUUAGAGGAAGCACCGGGUAACUCCGUGCCAGCAGCCGCGGUAAUACGGAGGGUGCAAGCGUUAUUCGGAAUUACUGGGCGUAAAGCGCACGUAGGCCGGUUUGUAAGUCAGGGGUGAAAUCCCACGGCUCAACCGUGGAACUGCCUUUGAAACUGCAGGACUUGAAUCCUGGAGAGGGUGGCGGAAUUCCUGGUGUAGGAGUGAAAUCCGUAGAUAUCAGGAGGAACACCGGUGGCGAAGGCGGCCACCUGGACAGGUAUUGACGCUGAGGUGCGAAAGUGUGGGGAGCAAACAGGAUUAGAUACCCUCGUAGUC